GGUGCAUGGUUGUCGUCAGCUCGUGUCGUGAGAUGUUGGGUUAAGUCCCGCAACGAGCGCAACCCUUGUCUUUAGUUGCCAUCAUUAAGUCUGACACUCUAGUGAGACUGCAAGGGAUAACCUGGAGGAAGGUGGGGAUGACGUCAAAACAUCAUGCCUCUUAUGCAUAUGGCAAUACACGUGCUACAAUGGGUAGUACAGAGGGUUGCCAAGCCGUAAGGUGGAGCUAAUCCCUUAAAGCUACUCUCAGUUCGGAUUGUAGGCUGAAACUCGCCUACAUGAAGCUGGAGUUACUAGUAAUCGCAGAUCAGAAUGCUGCGGUGAAUGCGUUCCCGGGUCUUGUACACACCGCCCGUCACACCACGGGAGUUGGAGACGCCCGAAGCCGAUUAUCUAACCUUUUGGAAGAAGUCGUCGAAGGUGGAAUCAAUAACUGGGGUGAAGUCGUAACAAGGUAGCCGUAUCGGAAGGUGCGGCUGGAUCACCUCCUUUCUAAGGA
rnacentral:rRNA from 1 species